rnacentral:tRNA from 1 species
CGGGAUGUGGCGCAGCUUGGUAGCGCAUCUGCUUCGGGAGCAGAGGGUCGCUGGUUCGAAUCCAGUCAUCCCGACCA